rfam:Aedes aegypti strain Liverpool supercont1.22 genomic scaffold, whole genome shotgun sequence.
UGUUCUGUAGCUUAGUUGGUUAAAGCGACGGUCUAGCGUACACGGAGUCGUGAGUUCGAGUCUCACUAGAACGC